rnacentral:rRNA from 1 species
UACGUAGGGGGCGAGCGUUGUCCGGAUUUAUUGGGCGUAAAGAGCUCGUAGGCGGUUUGGUAAGUUGGGUGUGAAAUCUCCAGGCUCAACUUGGAGGGGUCAUUCGAUACUGCCAUGACUAGAGUUCGGUAGGGGAGUGUGGAAUUCCUGGUGGAGCGGUGAAAUGCGCAGAUAUCAGGAGGAACACCCGUAGCGAAGGCGGCACUCUGGGCCGGAACUGACGCUGAGGAGCGAAAGCGUGGGGAGCAAACAGG